GGCAUCACAGACCUGCUGCUGGUCACACGGAUGGGAAGAGAAAAGGAAAUGACUGACCUGGAAGUCUGUGCACCAUCUGAGUGAAUACCUAUUGCUCACAGAGGACACCAGAGUUUGAGAUCUCUCAGAACUGGAGUACAGACAGUUGUGAAUCAUCAGAAUGAACUCUCUUCUUCCUUCGAGUGUAAACAUAAAGGGAAAUAUCUGCAACCCAGAAGCAGGAGUUUGUAUGGAAGAACCCAGUGUGCUGUGAUGUCUGCCAGACCGGACAGAACAUUGGGACAAAAGGGUGAGUUAGAUCCCUUCCCCCAUCCUUAUCCAUUCAAUAUAAUAACAAUACCUCAUCUUCUGUUCAUUAGCAAUCCUGAGGUUAAACAUGAUCCUGUGUGCAUAAAUGCCUUCUCAUCUCAGCUGGAUAGAAAGACCAAAGCACUUUGGAGUAAGUAUGUUACAGCAGCUAUCCAAGAUCUCCCUGAUAAGAGCUAGAGAGUGGAACUCAAACAUUGUGAUUGCCUGCGAGUCUAACCCUAUUUGAUAUUAUUGUAAUUAUAGCUCCUUCACAAUCACCCCUUGUAAGAACAAAAUCUACAAUACAUUUACUCUAUGUCUAUAGAGGACCACAUCACAUCACUAUGCUUCCUGCUUAAAACAUCACACAGAACUGAGAGAUAUUAAGAGGAAAAUGAAAUUUGUGUUUUGUUUAAUCAUUUUCUGCAUUGAUUUUAUUUUUCCUUCUUCCAGAUAUUUCUAUGUUUCCUCUAUAUGUAGGGAUAGGUCCCGCCCCUUGGGGGGCGUGUUCGCCUCGGGCUAAUGUCUGCCUAUAAAUUUGGUGAGCAUGCUCCCAGCCAUUGCUUCUGCUUUCCUGGUCUCCUCUGGAACGGU